ACUACUGAACAUUGAUCAAUAAAAUAAAACAGUAGAAUAUAGUAGUGAAUAGAUAUUCUUAUUACUGGAAAUAGCUAGAGUUCAUGUGGGAUCUAGCUCACAGUACAAACAGAAGACUAAAAUGAAAGGAAAUAAACUGUAAAUGAUAAAGGAGGCACUUCGAGAGGCCUUAGCUCUCCUAGGGUAAAAUUCACCACUCAAAUCAUGCAUAAAAACAAUGGCAGAGAACAUUCUGCUAUUUAAUCAAUUUGAUCCACAUCUAUUUUCUCUUCCCUCGCUGAAUAAGGAAACAUUCCUAUAAGGGAAUGAUUAGUUGUAUCAUUUUUCCCACGUUUCCUUUUAUAAAAU
rnacentral:lncRNA from 1 species